AUUGAACGCUGGCGGCAUGCCUUACACAUGCAAGUCGAACGGCAGCACGGGUGCUUGCCCCUGGUGGCGAGUGGCGAACGGGUGAGUAAUACAUCGGAACAUGUCCUGUAGUGGGGGAUAGCCCGGCGAAAGCCGGAUUAAUACCGCAUACGAUCCACGGAUGAAAGCGGGGGACCUUCGGGCCUCGCGCUAUAGGGUUGGCCGAUGGCUGAUUAGCUAGUUGGUGGGGUAAAGGCCUACCAAGGCGACGAUCAGUAGCUGGUCUGAGAGGACGACCAGCCACACUGGGACUGGGACACGGCCCAGACUCCUACGGGAGGCAGCAGUGGGGAAUUUUGGACAAUGGGCGAAAGCCUGAUCCAGCAAUGCCGCGUGUGUGAAGAAGGCCUUCGGGUUGUAAAGCACUUUUGUCCGGAAAGAAAUCCUUGGCUCUAAUACAGUCGGGGGAUGACGGUACCGGAAGAAUAAGCACCGGCUAACUACGUG
rnacentral:rRNA from 1 species